rnacentral:rRNA from 1 species
GUGAGGAAUAUUGGUCAAUGGGCGCAAGCCUGAACCAGCCAUGCCGCGUGCAGGAAGACGGUCCUAUGGAUUGUAAACUGCUUUUAUUUGGGAAUAAACUCCGGUACGUGUACCGGCCUGAAGGUACCAAAUGAAUAAGCACCGGCUAACUCCGUGCCAGCAGCCGCGGUAAUACGGAGGGUGCAAGCGUUAUCCGGAAUCAUUGGGUUUAAAGGGUUCGCAGGCGGUCUUAUAAGUCAGUGGUGAAAGCCUACAGCUCAACUGUAGGACUGCCAUUGAUACUGUAGGACUUGAAUUCGAUCGAAGUGGGCGGAAUGUGACAUGUAGCGGUGAAAUGCUUAGAUAUGUCACAGAACACCGAUAGCGAAGGCAGCUCACUAGGUCUGGAUUGACGCUCAGGGACGAAAGCGUGGGGAGCAAACAGGAUUAGAUACCCCGGUAGUCC